GACGAACGCUGGCGGCGUGCUUAACACAUGCAAGUCGAACGGAAAGGCCCUGCUUUUGUGGGGUGCUCGAGUGGCGAACGGGUGAGUAACACGUGAGUAACCUGCCCUUGACUUUGGGAUAACUUCAGGAAACUGGGGCUAAUACCGGAUAGGAGCUCCUGCUGCAUGGUGGGGGUUGGAAAGUUUCGGCGGUUGGGGAUGGACUCGCGGCUUAUCAGCUUGUUGGUGGGGUAGUGGCUUACCAAGGCUUUGACGGGUAGCCGGCCUGAGAGGGUGACCGGCCACAUUGGGACUGAGAUACGGCCCAGACUCCUACGGGAGGCAGCAGUGGGGAAUAUUGCACAAUGGGCGGAAGCCCGAUGCAGCAACGCCGCGUGCGGGAUGACGGCCUUCGGGUUGUAAACCGCUUUCGCCUGUGACGAAGCGUGAGUGACGGUAAUGGGUAAAGAAGCACCGGCGAACUACGU
rnacentral:rRNA from 1 species